UAAAACCAGCUCCUCGAGUAGUCGGGAAAAUUAUUGGGCCUAAAGCGCUCGUAGCCGGAUCAGCAAGUCCUUUGUGAAAUCGGGCCGCCCAACGGUUCGGCGUGCAAAGGAUACUGUUGGUCUUGAGACCGGGAGAGGUCGGAGGUACUCUUGGGGUAGCGGUGAAAUGCUGUAAUCCUGGGGGGACCACCAGUGGCGAAGGCGUCCGACCAGAACGGAUCUGACGGUGAGGGGCGAAGGCUAGGGGAGCGAACGGGAUUAGAUACCCCGGUAGUCCUAGCUGUAAAGCAUGCGGGCCAGGUGUCUAGCGCUCCUCGAGGGCGCUAUGUGCCGGAGGGAAGCCGUUAAGCCCGCCGCCUGGGAAGUACGGCCGCAAGGCUG
rnacentral:rRNA from 1 species